rnacentral:rRNA from 1 species
GAUGAACGCUGGCGGCGUGCCUAAUACAUGCAAGUAGAACGCUGAAGGAAGGAGCUUGCUCUUUCCGGAUGAGUUGCGAACGGGUGAGUAACGCGUAGGUAACCUGCCUGGUAGCGGGGGAUAACUAUUGGAAACGAUAGCUAAUACCGCAUAACAGUAGAUGUUGCAUGAUAUCUACUUAAAAGGUGCAAUUGCACCACUACCAGAUGGACCUGCGUUGUAUUAGCUAGUUGGUGAGGUAACGGCUCACCAAGGCGACGAUACAUAGCCGCACUGAGAGGGUGAUCGGCCACACUGGGACUGAGACACGGCCCAGACUCCUACGGGAGGCAGCAGUAGGGAAACUUCGGGCAUGGACGGAAGUCUGACCGAGAAACGCCGCGGGAGUGAAGAAGGUUUUCGGAUCGGAAAGCUCUGUCGUAAGAGAAGAACGAGUGUGAGAGUGGAAAGUUCACACUGUGACGGUAUCUUACCAGAAAGGGACGGCUAACUACGUG